rnacentral:lncRNA from 1 species
UGUCCCAAAGGUAAGCCUUGAUGAAAAUUUACAUAAAAUUGGGCAGAAUUUCCCCUGUUUUUGGGCCUAUCUAAAAAGUUCCUUGUCUCAAAUUCAAUAACUUAUGCAACUAAUAUCACCAAAACAAGUCGGAAUAUUCAUCAAUAAUCUAUUAGGAUUAUAAUAAUACUAAAUUCAACUCCAAAUACGAAAAAAGUCUAAUACUAUCACAAAUCACUAAUAACGAAAGAGUACUCAUGACUCUAGUAAAAUGACUAAUGGAACGACUUUAAGAAUUUAAAAUAAAAUGGUGAUAGCAAAUAAAUGAACUUCUUGUCGACGCAAAUCAAUGUCUGCUCACGUGCAUUUGUCAACUUAUGCAUUCUAGCUAGAGAAAGCCUCAUCAAUGUCA